GUUUAGCCCUGAUUGAAAUGGCAUCCUUUUUGUUUUUUACAAAAAGAUAUAAUGGAAAGCAGGAAAUAGC
rnacentral:sRNA from 1 species